UUAGCGCUUUCACCGCAUCUCCAGCGGUUCAUCAGACAGAAUUGUUUGAAAUUAACGAUAACAAUUUCUGUCUGAUGAACGCUGGAGAUGCGGUGAAAGCG
rnacentral:sRNA from 1 species